rnacentral:rRNA from 1 species
GACGAACGCUGGCGGCGUGCUUAACACAUGCAAGUCGAACGGAAAGGCCCUGCUUGCAGGGUACUCGAGUGGCGAACGGGUGAGUAACACGUGGGUGAUCUGCCCUGCACUUCGGGAUAAGCCUGGGAAACUGGGUCUAAUACCGGAUAGGAGCCAUUUUUAGUGUGAUGGUUGGAAAGUUUUUUCGGUGUAGGAUGAGCUCGCGGCCUAUCAGCUUGUUGGUGGGGUAAUGGCCUACCAAGGCGGCGACGGGUAGCCGGCCUGAGAGGGUGGACGGCGACAUUGGGACUGAGAUGCGGCCCAGACUCCUACGGGAGGCAGCAGUGGGGAAUAUUGCACAAUGGGCGCAAGCCUGAUGCAGCGACGCCGCGUGGGGGAUGACGGCCUUCGGGUUGUAAACUCCUUUCGCUAGGGACGAAGCUUUUUGUGACGGUACCUAGAUAAGAAGCACCGGCUAACUACGUG